rnacentral:rRNA from 1 species
UGACCUCGGAUCAGGUAGGGAUACCCGCUGAACUUAAGCAUAUCAAUAAGCGGGAGGAA